UAUCCCAUAUUAUUAAAUUUAGAUGUGAUUAUUAUAAAUCUAUUUGUCUAGAUAUUAUUGUUGGCUCUAGUUGAAUAUUGAUAUGAUUAUGUGAAUAGUUGUAUGUGAUUAUACUUGUUAUGUGGAUUAAUAUGGAUUUUUCAGAUUAUGCGUCCUCCUUCUUUCUCUGAUUCCGAGGACGGAAUCCCUAUAAGGAGGGUAGAUUGUAAUAACCCGGAUUUUAAAAAUAUUUUUAUUAAUAUUAUAAAUGAUUUUCUUAAAAAGAAGGGAAUAAGAUUUAAUAUUUUAUUCCAGUUUAAUGAGUUUUCAAAGGUUUAUAUUUAAACCCCGGGUUAUUGUGUUAUUGAUAAAUAAUUGUAUUUUUAAAACUGAUUUUCAUAUAUUGUUUCGAAAAUUCUAGAUGAUUAUUAUGUGCAUAUAUGUGUGAUGUGAGUAAGUGGUAUUGGUGGAUUUGUUGGUUAAUUAAUUAUGGUUAAUUAUGAGUAUUAUAUGAUUAAUAAUAUAUGAAUUUUUGUGAAUUUUAUAUUAUCUGGUUUAUUGCGUUAACUGCUCAUAUGUGUUCGUAUUUGAGAGAUUUCAAUUUCCAUAUGCUCAGGAGAAAAUAUAGUUUAUUUGGAUAUUUUCAUAUCGAUUUAUGGAAUGUUAGAUGAUUUUAUAAUCGAUUUACGGAUUUAAUUGUGUAUAUUUAUAUUUAUUUAUUAAUUAUGUGACUUCCGUAAAACCGUCCACUCGUAACGGUGUAGCGAUUUUUCUUCCCGGAAGUUUCGAGAAAACUUACCUUUAGCCUAAUUUCAAUAUUCCGGACAUUUUUCGUGUUUUGACUUUUUCGAUCCGGAGUACGGUUUUCCCCGGAGUCGGUCCGGCGGAGUUUUUCGGGUAUUUUAAUUGUUGAUAAUUAUCCAGUUUGUCUCGAUAAGCGUGAAACGAGAUAUUUUGAUUAUUAUAUUCAUCCUUAUCUUGUAAUAAUUGCAAUGGGACCCGCAGACCAAUAAUUGAGUUAAAAAGCCCCGUUUUGAUGAUUAUCUCGAAAACCGGUACCGAUUGGACCCCGCUUUAUUAAUAUAAAGCUAUUAAAUACGUAUUUUCAUGUCAUAAACGAUCCAAAGGGGUACCAAUUAUUUGUAAAUAUAAAUAGACCUAUCUAGAGCUUAUUCUCACCCGUAAAAUCAUUUCACCAGUUUCUUCUCACGAAUACCGAGAGAAACCGAAGUGUGUUCUUCGUGUUCUUCGUAAUCAAACGAGGAUUUGGAGGUGUUAUUGGAAUCCGAUGGAGGCGUAUGAAUAGUCAAAACGAAGCUAUCGACGCGUAGAAUCAAGCUUAAUCAUCCGUUUAUAUGCAGAUUCAACAGGAUUUGGACGAGACGUGUACGCUCGAAGACGUCAGAAAGUCGGAAUGGUAUUGCAAAGCGAAUAAGGGAUGAUUGAGUAAGCGAAGCGAAGUGGCGAAUAGAGUAUAGCUAGAGAUGGUCUAGAGAUUACGAGAUGCAUAGAUUGUGAAAGUGGAGAGAUGAGAUAGAGAUGUGAGACUGGAGUCAGAUUUAAGAAAGGCUUAAAGAUGAGAUGAUUGAUUGAGAUUGUGAGUAAGGCUAAUGCUAGGCGAGGAGACAGAGUUGAGGAUCCAGUGGUCGAGGAGUGUUCAGGAAAGUUGAUGAGGUUGGUGCAAGCUGGAAUAGUUGACAGUGAUUCUUCUUAUCGAAGAUGAUCUGAUUUGGUAAGAGAUGUUGUGUAAUAUUAGUGGUGGAUUCUAAUUUCAAUACUGUAACCUGGAUGCGAUCCUGUUGCGUUUAGGGGGUUGAAAUGUCUCUUUCGAAUCAUUUAUUAAAGUUUCAAUGUUUUCUUGAAAUUCUCUUAUUAUGGCUUUCAAAUUUGAAAUUCAGGUUCUGAAAUCAUUGGAUUUAUGUUCUCAUUCAAAUCUUUUAUUAAAUGUUUUCAGGUUUUAAAUUCUCUGAUUUGUAUUAUCUUUCCAAAAAGAAAAAAAAAAUACAGGAUUUCAAAAGUGUUUAAAAAUGGGUUUUAUGUGGUGACGUCAGAAUCCAGACCCCCGGAUUCCUGGACUGUCACAGUUGGUAUCAGAGCAACAGGUUAUAAGUAUUUGAAAUUAGAAUAUAGAUCAUAGUUAUAGGUUUUCUAGAGAAGAAUGUGGUGUAACCUCACAUAGAGGUAUGGUCGGACUAUUUAGGAAUAGUCUAGAGAUGUGAGUGAAGCAUAGAGUUUAGUUAGAUGAUCAAGUUAAGUGUGGAUAUCUAAAGAGAUUAGGAUUCUUAAGUUUAGACAUAUGAUUUCUAGUAUGUUGAUUAAUUGAGAUGGUGAAUUGUGAUGAAGGUCAAGGUUAGACCUAGAUAGAAGAGUUUGAUAGUGAAUGAUUGAGUUAAGAAUGGUAAAGAUGCAGAGUUCAGAGUAUUCUGACUAUACUGCAUAGUUGAGAAUGGUCUAUGGUAUUGAUUUGAGAAUAAUAAAGAUGCAUGGUUCAUAGUAUGUUGACCAUGUCAGAUAUUUGGAAGAAGUAUAUUGUUUUUGUGAGAUAUGAAGAGUAAGUGUAAAGUAUGAGUUGUGUUGAAUUAGAAGGAGAGAUUAGUAGAUAGAGGUUGAUAGAUGAGAAGUGCAUGAUAGAGAGUAUGUGGAGUUGAGUCCAGUUAUUAGAGAUGAUGUCUACGAGUAAGUUAGAACGUUAGUCCUCGACGACAACGCUUCGAGCUAAUCGGGAUUUCAAAUGGCAUCAAGGUGGGCCCAUAACCCACAGGUUGACGGGUCAGAAAAUAGAAGAUACGCUACGUGUUGUGCUAUGGAAUUCAAAGGUAACUGGAUGAAACAUGAGAACGUGAACUACUUGGGCCAGAUUUAUUACGAACUAUAACGUCUACGAUGACAUCUUACGAGGCUAUUACGAGUCAACAUCGAUCGAUUAUCGAGAACGUUGAAAAGAGGAUAUAUAUCGAACAAUGAUUUAUUGAAGCAGAGCGAAAAUCUGAGAAGACCUUGGCAAUACCUCUCUUCAACUAAAGAUUCUUUUGAUUGUUUUCUCAUCAGUGAGAUAUUAUCAUGAUAUCUUUUCUACAAAAGUUUUGAUAAAUGAGAUCUUCAAUUUCUCAAAUUCUAAGAUGACAUUGAUAUUGAUUAUUGGUAUGAGUUGGAAAGCAAAGAUGUGUGAUAAAGGUUUGUUGUGAAGAAAUAGUGAUGUUCCUUGAUAUUGUUUGACAUUUCUUGACAUUCCUUGAUACCCUUUCAUCUUCCUUGAUAUCCCUUAGUGUUCUUUGAUAUUGUUGAUAUUCAUUGAUAUUCUCUGAUAUUCCUUAACAUUUCUUCAAUUUGGUUGGGAUGAACAACCCUAUUUAUAGGGGACACAAGGUAUACCUGUCUGUGUGAUAGGAGUUGGAUGGGACGCCAUCACUUGUGUGUGUUGUGAUUACAAGAAGGUUAACAACCUUUAGUAGUGUCUAAUGUGGACACGCAACACCAAGUUCGUUGAUCAUAUAGAUCUCUCAGUCACUCCUUUAUUCAAAUGUGAUCUACCUUGAAAACAUUUUGUUCUAUUCAAAAUUCCACAAGAUUGAUUCUUGGGAAAUGAAUUUUGCAAUUGUAAAAGUUUGAUUUUCCUUUUUCAUUAAAGUUAAAGGUAUGCCAAGAUCAACCAAAGGUGAAUGACGAUAUGAUAUUACGAAGCGUGUACGUUUUAGUUUCUUCGGAGGAUUCCGAGGACGGAAUCCUUAUAAGGGGGGUAGAAUGUAAUAUCCCAUAUUAUUAAAUUUAGAUGUGAUUAUUAUAAAUCUAUUUGUCUAGAUAUUAUUGUUGGCUCUAGUUGAAUAUUGAUAUGAUUAUGUGAAUAGUUGUAUGUGAUUAUACUUGUUAUGUGGAUUAAUAUGGAUUUUUCAGAUUAUGCGUCCUCCUUCUUUCUCUGAUUCCGAGGACGGAAUCCCUAUAAGGAGGGUAGAUUGUAAUAACCCGGAUUUUAAAAAUAUUUUUAUUAAUAUUAUAAAUGAUUUUCUUAAAAAGAAGGGAAUAAGAUUUAAUAUUUUAUUCCAGUUUAAUGAGUUUUCAAAGGUUUAUAUUUAAACCCCGGGUUAUUGUGUUAUUGAUAAAUAAUUGUAUUUUUAAAACUGAUUUUCAUAUAUUGUUUCGAAAAUUCUAGAUGAUUAUUAUGUGCAUAUAUGUGUGAUGUGAGUAAGUGGUAUUGGUGGAUUUGUUGGUUAAUUAAUUAUGGUUAAUUAUGAGUAUUAUAUGAUUAAUAAUAUAUGAAUUUUUGUGAAUUUUAUAUUAUCUGGUUUAUUGCGUUAACUGCUCAUAUGUGUUCGUAUUUGAGAGAUUUCAAUUUCCAUAUGCUCAGGAGAAAAUAUAGUUUAUUUGGAUAUUUUCAUAUCGAUUUAUGGAAUGUUAGAUGAUUUUAUAAUCGAUUUACGGAUUUAAUUGUGUAUAUUUAUAUUUAUUUAUUAAUUAUGUGACUUCCGUAAAACCGUCCACUCGUAACGGUGUAGCGAUUUUUCUUCCCGGAAGUUUCGAGAAAACUUACCUUUAGCCUAAUUUCAAUAUUCCGGACAUUUUUCGUGUUUUGACUUUUUCGAUCCGGAGUACGGUUUUCCCCGGAGUCGGUCCGGCGGAGUUUUUCGGGUAUUUUAAUUGUUGAUAAUUAUCCAGUUUGUCUCGAUAAGCGUGAAACGAGAUAUUUUGAUUAUUAUAUUCAUCCUUAUCUUGUAAUAAUUGCAAUGGGACCCGCAGACCAAUAAUUGAGUUAAAAAGCCCCGUUUUGAUGAUUAUCUCGAAAACCGGUACCGAUUGGACCCCGCUUUAUUAAUAUAAAGCUAUUAAAUACGUAUUUUCAUGUCAUAAACGAUCCAAAGGGGUACCAAUUAUUUGUAAAUAUAAAUAGACCUUUCUAGAGCUUAUUCUCACCCGUAAAAUCAUUUCACCAGUUUCUUCUCACGAAUACCGAGAGAAACCGAAGUGUGUUCUUCGUGUUCUUCGUAAUCAAACGAGGAUUUGGAGGUGUUAUUGGAAUCCGAUGGAGGCGUAUGAAUAGUCAAAACGAAGCUAUCGACGCGUAGAAUCAAGCUUAAUCAUCCGUUUAUAUGCAGAUUCAACAGGAUUUGGACGAGACGUGUACGCUCGAAGACGUCAGAAAGUCGGAAUGGUAUUGCAAAGCGAAUAAGGGAUGAUUGAGUAAGCGAAGCGAAGUGGCGAAUAGAGUAUAGCUAGAGAUGGUCUAGAGAUUACGAGAUGCAUAGAUUGUGAAAGUGGAGAGAUGAGAUAGAGAUGUGAGACUGGAGUCAGAUUUAAGAAAGGCUUAAAGAUGAGAUGAUUGAUUGAGAUUGUGAGUAAGGCUAAUGCUAGGCGAGGAGACAGAGUUGAGGAUCCAGUGGUCGAGGAGUGUUCAGGAAAGUUGAUGAGGUUGGUGCAAGCUGGAAUAGUUGACAGUGAUUCUUCUUAUCGAAGAUGAUCUGAUUUGGUAAGAGAUGUUGUGUAAUAUUAGUGGUGGAUUCUAAUUUCAAUACUGUAACCUGGAUGCGAUCCUGUUGCGUUUAGGGGGUUGAAAUGUCUCUUUCGAAUCAUUUAUUAAAGUUUCAAUGUUUUCUUGAAA